rnacentral:rRNA from 1 species
AUACGUAGGUGGCAAGCGUUAUCCGGAAUUACUGGGCGUAAAGCGCACGCAGGCGGCCAGUCAAGUCUGACGUGAAAGCUCCUGGCUUAACUGGGAGAGGUCGUUGGAAACUGAUUGGCUUGAGGCAAUGAGAGGGACACGGAAUUCCCGGUGUAGUGGUGGAAUGCGUAGAUAUCGGGAGGAACACCAGUGGCGAAAGCGGUGUCCUGGCAUUGACCUGACGCUCAUGUGCGAAAGCGUGGGGAGCGAACGGGAGUAGAAACCCCUGUAGUCC